rnacentral:lncRNA from 1 species
GUGGAGUUAUUACAGGAUGCAACAUAAGAUACAGUUUCACUAAGAUUUGCACGUGUCUCGCCUGAUUCACAAAUAUUUAAUUUUUAAGCAAUUUUAUUGAAAUUGUCAAUGAUGAAAAUUGUCAAUGAUGAAAAUACGUAACUGUGCAACUUCAAAAUUUCAAAAUGAAAAUAACUUUAAUAGAAAAAUAUACAAUUCAAGAUAGUGAUCGAUAGUGUACUGUUGUGGUUUGAAAUGUGGUAAUACGACAUAUAAAAGAUAAUUAUACCAAUAAACAAUUACUGUCGAUAACUAGGAAAUUCUGUGAUUUAAAUGACUUUUGAAAAACUGAUGUUAACGGAGACCGAAGUGUUUAUCAGUUUUUCAAAAGUCAAUUAAACCACAUAUUUACCUAAUCAAAGACAGCUAUAAUUGUCUAUUUGUUCCAUUUUUCAAAAGAAAACAAUAUAGUUGAUGUCAAAUAUUUAUAAAACAAAUAAUAUAUCGAACUUUUUAAACUAACUUUACAUGUAAAAAGCUCAUGACUUUGAGCGCGUUGCUUAUCAUUUUUCUCCAGGUGAAUAUGCUCUGAUAUUUAAAUCCAAUUCAUAAACUAGAGAAAACAUACUAUAAUAGUACCAAAAUUGAACAACAAAUGUUAUUCUAAUAUGUUUGAAUAACUCAUCUUAUCUCAGAACUAUGAUAAUUCUUAAGUUGUAUCAGCCCGGAAAGUCAAACUUUAUUCCGCUUUGUGUGACUUCUUUCGUUGGCAAGAUGGCUUAACUAAAUGCCCUUAAAUGUGUGUACCGAGUUUAAAGCCAAUUUUUUAAAUGACCACUUCACCUCCUUUUGAAACCAAUCACAUCUCCAUACGUUUCAGUCUUAUACUAUAUAUCGUUAUGCAUACAUGUAACAUAUCUUUAAAAUCUUACUCUCUAUAGUAGUUCAGUCUUUGUUUGAUCUUCUAAUUACUCUCGAGCAGCUCAGUGAGGUAUUGUUGUAAAAGAUCAAACUGAGGACGGACGUUUGUGUCAGGUGAAAGCAAAAGCCCUGAAUAACCAGAUCAGCCAGCACAACUAUGAUAAAUCAUCUAUCUAACAUACAAUAUUACAUUAUAAACAACAAUAUAUUUUCAACUACUUAAGGAUUAUGUACACAGAAUAGUUUUACCAGCACCAAAAAUGAAAAUAAAAAAAUCAGUAAACAAUUCUUUUAAGAUACACGCUGAGUAAAACGAGGAUUAAAUGUCUAUGGAACGGCACUGAUGAUUCCCCCGCUUGAAUAUAACAGUUUGAAGGGACAAGACUUAAAUUCGAACUAGAUCUAAGUUUUGUGGCAAAAAAAAAAUGUGUGUAAGUUUUAUAACAUUUGGUUGAGGCAACAUUAAGUUUGUAAACGUAAAUGAAAAAAAUAAUCAGCCUUUUUAGAUUGUGAAAGGGUAUAGUCCUAGAAUAGUUAACAUAUCGCCAACCAAAUUCAAACUUGAUGUGUUAAGUAGUAAAAACAAAAUAUGCAUUCUUAUUUUCAUAACUAUUAGUUGAGGCAAACUAAUCUAAGAAAGCGGAAACCAAAUAUUUUUGACGUUCAUAUGUACAGACAUGCAUACAAACGGACGAACAGACGGAGCAGGGUUACACAUAAUGCCCCUUCCACUGCGACAAGGGCAAACAACACACUAAAA